rnacentral:rRNA from 1 species
AGGACGAACGCUGGCGGCGUGCUUAACACAUGCAAGUCGAGCGGUAAGGCUCCUUCGGGAGUACACGAGCGGCGAACGGGUGAGUAACACGUGAGCAAUCUGCCCUUCACAUCGGGAUAACCCCCGGAAACGGGAGCUAAUACCGGAUACGACCACUUCAGGCAUCUGAUGGUGGUGGAAAGUUCCGGCGGUGAAGGAUGAGCUCGCGGCCUAUCAGCUAGUUGGUGAGGUAAUGGCCCACCAAGGCUUCGACGGGUAGCCGGCCUGAGAGGGUGACCGGCCACACUGGGACUGAGACACGGCCCAGACUCCUACGGGAGGCAGCAGUGGGGAAUAUUGGACAAUGGGCGAAAGCCUGAUCCAGCAACGCCGCGUGAGGGAUGACGGCCUUCGGGUUGUAAACCUCUUUCAGCAGGGACGAAGCGAGAGUGACGGUACCUGCAGAAGAGCACCGGCCACUACGUGCCAGCAGCCGC